GACAGAGGAUGCAAGCGUUAUCCGGAAUGAUUGGGCGUAAAGCGUCUGUAGGUGGCUUUUUAAGUCUGCCGUCAAAUCCCAGGGCUUAACCCUGGACAGGCGGUGGAAACUACCAAGCUGGAGUACGGCAGGGGCAGAGGGAAUUUCCGGUGGAGCGGUGAAAUGCGCAGAUAUCGGGAGGAACACCAAUGGCGAAGGCAGCUUGCUGGGACGGUACUGACGCUGAGGCGCGAAAAGCGU
rnacentral:rRNA from 1 species